UGCAUACAGAGAGUGGUUGCCUGGGAGGGU
rnacentral:piRNA from 1 species